GAGUUUGAUCUUGGCUCAGAACGAACGCUGGCGGCAUGCCUAACACAUGCAAGUCGAACGAGACCUUCGGGUCUAGUGGCGCACGGGUGCGUAACGCGUGGGAACCUGCCUUUAGGUUCGGAAUAACAGUGAGAAAUUACUGCUAAAUACCGAAUAAUGUCUUCGGACCAAAGAUUUAUCGCCUUUAGAUUGGGCCCGCGUUGGAUUAGCUAGUUGGUGGGGUAAAGGCCUACCAAGGCGACGAUCCAUAGCUGGUCUGAGAGGAUGAUCAGCCACACUGGGACUGAGACACGGCCCAGACUCCUACGGGAGGCAGCAGUGGGGAAUAUUGGGACAAUGGGCGAAAGCCGUGAUCCAGCAAUGCCGCGUGAGUGAUGAAGGCCUUAGGGUUGUAAAGCUCUUUUACCCGGGAUGAUAAUGACAGUACCGGAG
rnacentral:rRNA from 1 species